GAAUUCACUAGUGAUUCAGGCCUAACACAUGCAAGUCGAGCGGUAGAGAGAAGCUUGCUUCUCUUGAGAGCGGCGGACGGGUGAGUAAUGCCUAGGAAUCUGCCUGGUAGUGGGGGAUAACGUUCGGAAACGGACGCUAAUACCGCAUACGUCCUACGGGAGGAAGCAGGGGACCUUCGGGCCUUGCGCUAUCAGAUGAGCCUAGGUCGGAUUAGCUAGUUGGUGAGGUAAUGGCUCACCAAGGCGACGAUCCGUAACUGGUCUGAGAGGAUGAUCAGUCACACUGGAACGGAGACACGGUCCAGACUCCUACGGGAGGCAGCAGUGGGGAAUAUUGGACAAUGGGCGAAAGCCUGA
rnacentral:rRNA from 1 species